AUUGAACGCUGGCGGCAGGCCUAACACAUGCAAGUCGAACGGUAACAGGAAGCAGCUUGCUGCUUCGCUGACGAGUGGCGGACGGGUGAGUAAUGUCUGGGAAACUGCCUGAUGGAGGGGGAUACCUACUGGAAACGGUCGCUAAUACCGCAUAACGUCGCAAGACCACAGAGGGGGACCUUCGGGCCUCCUGCCAUCGGAUGGGCCCAGAUGGGAUUAGCUAGUAGGUGGGGUAACGGCUCACCUAGGCGACGAUCCCUAGCUGGUCUGAGAGGAUGACCAGCCACACUGGAACUGAGACACGGUCCAGACUCCUACGGGCGGCAGCAGUGGGGAAUAUUGCACAAUGGGCGCAAGCCUGAUGCAGCCAUGCCGCGUGUAUGAAGAAGGCCUUCGGGUUGUAAAGUACUUUCAGCGGGGAGGAAGGGAGUAAAGUUAAUACCUUUGCUCAUUGACGUUACCCGCAGAAGAAGCACCGGCUAACUCCGUGCCAGCCGCCGCAGUAA
rnacentral:rRNA from 1 species